GAGAGGGAAGAUGAGAGGGGAGGAUGUGAGGGAGGAGUAACAAAAGUGAAAACAAAAACUAAAAAUUGAAAUCUAUUUGAAAUUGUUUUCACUUUCAAGUUUUUGUUUUCACUUUCGUUACUCCUCCCUCCCAUCCUCCCUUCUCAUACUCUUCUCAAUCUCA
rnacentral:snoRNA from 1 species